GUGAUGUUGUGGACGUGUAAUGUGAUCAAGGCAUUGAUAGUAUUUGUUGCAUCAAUUACAAGAGGUGGAUUUAAGAGGAUAUUGUUACAUCAGAGGUCACCAUUUACAUUACCAUUUCAAGUACAUCACAAAUAUCAAGAAGAUUACAUAAAGCCAUUUACACCAUAA